CGGACACAUCGCGUUGUAACACCAGUUCCCGUACGAUCACUGAAGUUAAGCAACCUCAAGCCUCGUCAUUAUUUAGAUGGGUUAACGCUUAGAAAUACCAGAUGCUGUAAG